UAUUAAUAAUUAGGAAAAGAAAAUAUUAUGUUUUGAAGGGGAACAAAUCCUACCCUGUUGGGCUUUAUAACAAGAAAUAGCCCUAAAAUUAAGAAUUCUCUAAAAGAAGUGCAGCACCAGUUUCAUCUGAGUUUCGCCGACAAGAACCGGCGAAGAAGUUGAUCACUAAUUUCAUCUGAGUUUCGCCGAACCCUCAUUUAAAUUCCAGUUCUCAGAAGAGCAGAAACCUUGAGUUGUCUUCUCCAAAAUCAAAUCGCGGCGCGUCUUCUCCUAUUCGAGUCCAGGUACACAAAUUUUGCAAACUUCGAUCAUUUUAUCAAUUUUUUUUUGUUUAUUUCAAAUUCUUACUUACCCUAAUGCAAGAGGUGAAGAAUCUGUGGAGAAAAGAUUAAAUAUAUCACAGCUCUUUUUCUCUAUUUUCCUCACACUCAUGAGGUGAGUGAUGUGUAUUUUGUAUGUAAUUAUGUAGAUUUGUUGAUUUGGAAAUCGUUUUGUUCAAUUUGGAGAAAAUAUUAUCUAUUUUUUUAGUUCGUAGACUCUUUGAAGGGCUUCUAAUUUUGUGUUUCUAUUUAACUUUUAUCUAAUCAGAUGAAUUAUGUUUCAUAGUUUUGUAAAUUUGUGAUAGGUUGCAAGUUUUUGACUAGUCUAUUGUUCUUUUUACUGAAAACUUUCCCAUUUAAGUUUAUAUAAAACUUUGUUCUAUUUUUUGUUUGUCCGUAUCUUAAACAACUUCAUUCCAACAUGAUUGACAAGAAUUGGAUUGAGAGUCCUGUUAAAUCGAAAGAAUUCUCGGAUGGUGUAGUUCAAUUUUUAGAAUUUGCAUUUUCAAAUGCAUCUAUUGAUGGAAAAAUUUUAUGUCCUUGUAUUACAUGUGGAUUUUUUGUUAUGCCCAAUAGAGCUGAAGUGUUAAGUAAUCUACUUCAAAGGGGAUUUCCAAAAAAGUACACAUGUUGGCAUAUGCAUGGCGAAAAAUAUGCUCAAUCAAGUGUAGAAUCGUUAUCCCAAGUACAAAAUGAGUCAACUAGACAAUCUCCUAUGCACGAUAUGUUGAAUGAUAUUUUUGGUGCCAUUGACAAUAAUGAAUUUCAAGAUUCAGGUCCAUCAGAUCUACCAAAUAAUGAAAAUUCUAGAGGUUUUGAAGGUAGAAGUUAAGAAGAGAGAGGAAAUUAAGUAGUUAUUGGAGGAUGGGAAUCAAGAACUUUAUGAUGGUUGUACAAAAUAUAGUAAGUUAUCAUUCAUUGUUCGUUUUUAUCAUAUUAAGGUCUUAUGUGGUGCAACAGAGAAAACAUUUUCUAUGAUUCUUGAUCUCUCAAAAGAUGCAUUUCCCCUUGCAAAACUACCAUCAUCAUUUUAUGAGUCAAAAAAGAUGAUUAAGAAGUUAGGUUAGGGAUACGAUAAGAUUGAUGCAUGUUCGAAUCAUUGUAUGUUAUAUUGGGGAUCAUCAGAGGAUGAGAGUAGAGAUAAAUGCAAGGUCUGUAAUACUUCAAGGUAUAUGUCAAAUGAAAAUGAUAUUGGUGCAAAUGUUGUAAUUGAUGACCAACAUCGAAGAAACCAAAGACAACGAAAGUAUUGUGGUACUUUCCACUUAUACCUAGAUUGAAAAGUCUAUACAAGUGCUCUAAAACUGCAGAACUCUUGAAGUGGCAUACUACAAAAGCUAAUCCAGAUGGGUUAUUACGACAUCCAAGAGAUGGCAAAGCGUGGAAACAUUUUGAUUCAUUCUAUCCAGACUUCACUUCGGAGACUCGUAAUGUGCGACUUGCUUUAGCGACAGAUGGCUUUAAUCCAUUUGGAAAUCUAAGUUCAUGUGUAAGCAUUUGGCUUGUGAUGUUGUAUAUCUACAAUUAUCCUCCGUGGUGUUUUAUGACGCAAUCAUCUCUUAUUAUGUUGAUGAUAAUUCCUUUGUCCUAAAAUGUCUGGAAAUAACAUUGACGUUUACUUGCAACCAUUAAUUGCUGAGUUAACACAACUGUGCGAUGGUGUAAAUGCUUAUGAUUCCUCAUCUAAGGAAAUGUCUCAAUAGCGUGCUGCAUUGAUGUGGUCCAUAAGUGAUUUUCCAGGUCUUGACAACUUGUCUUGAUAGAAUACACAUACAUCACUUGCUUGCACAUCAUGUAAUUAUGAAACAGAUUCUAAGUGGCUAAAGUUUGGUAGAAAAAAUUGCUUUAUGGGACAUCGUCGAUUUUUACCACAUGAUCACAAAUAUAGAUAAAACAAAAGGUCUUUUAAUGGUUUUGAGGAGCAUAGACCAGCACCUACUCCACCAUCAGGUUAAACCUUUUUAUGUCAAAUUGAGAAGAGUCGGAAGAAGCCUCGUGAUGAUGGUCCAAGUAAGGUUGUCCCAAAACAAUGGAAGAAAAAAAGUAUCUUUUGGGAUUUACCUUAUUGGAAGAACCAUAUUAUUCGGCAUUGCCUUGACUUGAUGCAUGUGCAGAAGAAUGUUUGUGAUAAUGUAUGGCAUACUAUACUUGGUGACAAUAAAAAAUCAAAAGGCAAUUCGCAAGCUCGUAAAGACUUGCAAGAGAUGGGAAUUAGGGAAAAGCUUCAUCCAUAUCCUAAUUCUACCAAAUUUCCUCCAGCAUGCUUUAACAUGAAGAAAGACAAGAAAGAUAUCUUUCUAAAAGUUUUAAACAAUGUGGUGUUUCCAUAUAAUUAUGCAUCCAAUAUUUCUAGAUGUGUUGAUGUUAAGAAACGCAAGAUCUCUAAUUUAAAUAGUCAUGAUUCCCAUAUUUUAUUGGAACAUCUUUUGCCAAUUGCUUGUAGAAAAGAUCUUCCUAAAGAAGUUACCACAGUGUUGAUUUAGUUAUUUAACUACUUUAGAGAAAUAUAAAGCAAGGUUUUGGAUGUUAAACAUGUAGAGAAUCUCCAACAACGAAUUUGGUUGAAUCAUGCUAAUAUGGAAGCAAUUUUUCCUCCAUCUUUUUUCACUAUUAUGUUUCACCUAGUCAUUCAUAUUGGAGAGGAAGCAAUUCUUGCGGGUCCUGUACAAGGUCAUUGGAUGUACCCUGUUGAAAGGGGAAUGGGUCAUUUUAAAUCUUAUGUUCAUAACAAUUUCGCUAUAGAAGGUUGUAAAGCCGAAGGCUGCCUUAUUGAGGAAAACCUUACUAAUUGUUCUCAAUAUUUUGAAGAUGCAAAUAUUGAAACAAGGUUUAAUCGACCAAGGCGUAAUGAUAACGACAAUGAAAUUAAUGAUAGGUUGCAAGUCAGAAUGGUGUGGAGAUUACGUCAGAAGUCCAAUUGCUUGUGGGCCAAAUAAUGUUGUGAGGAGAUUCAAGGAAUAUAACAUUCAUGAACUUAAGUUUCGUACUAUGUGGAAGGUGCAAGGACUGUAAUCACAAAAUAGUGGUGUUGUUAUGUCUGCGGUUACCAAAAGAUUUUCAAGUGUUAAAGGAUCUAUUGAACAGUCAAGUGAUGAUAUGUGCUAUGGCAAACUGGUUGACAUCAUAGAGUUAAAUUAUUAUGGAAAGUUUAAGGUUGUAUUAUUCAAAUGUCUUUGUGUAGAUACUACACUUAACAAGGGAAUCAAGAUAGAUCGAAUUGGGAUUACAAGUGUAAAUUUUACCCGUUUGAUACAUACAGGUGUAAAAGAAACAGAUGAACCAUUUAUACUUGCAUCUGAUGCUAGAAUGGUAUACUAUGUUGAUGAUCCAAUUGAUGAAGAUUGGUGUUGUGUUUUUCAUAUGAAGCCGAGAGACAUAUAUGAUAUGGGAGAUGUGGAUUUUGUAGAUUUAGAGGAGCCACAAAUGGAGGACAUACCUUUUUGUGAGCUACAUUUGGAAAAUAUUGAAGACUUACCUUUAGUUCGAGUUGAUCAGGAUGUACAAGAACAAGGUGAUUCUCUCAAUGAUGAUGGUGAUAGUGAUGGAGAUGAUGACGAUGGUGACAGUGAUGGAGUAGAUGAUGAUGGUGGUAGUGAUUCAGAUAAUGAUAGAAUGAGAGAUUAGUUUAAUUCCCCUAUUAUGAAAUUUAAGAAUUACAACUAAGAUUCUAUUUUACUUGGUUUGUUUUAUUUAAUUGUGUGUGUUUUGAAUCUUUAGUGUAUUUAUCUACUUGUUAGAUAUUUUGCAUAAUCUAUUGUAUCGAUGUUUGCCUGGCA